rnacentral:sRNA from 1 species
CAUUUCCAACAAGAGCACUGGCCAAGUCAGCUUCUUCUGAGAGAGUCUCUAGAAGACAUGAUGCUACACUCAGCUUUGGGUCUCUGCCUCUUACUCGUCACAGUUUCUUCCAACCUUGCCAUUGCAAUAAAAAAGGAAAAGAGGCCUCCUCAGACACUCUCAAGAGGAUGGGGAGAUGACAUCACUUGGGUACAAACUUAUGAAGAAGGUCUCUUUUAUGCUCAAAAAAGGUAACACGCCUCUCAGCUCAUUUUUUUCCUUUUAUUUGUAGUAGACUCAUAAUAAUUGUACAUAUUUAUGGAAUAUAGAGUGAUAUGCUGAUACAGGUACACAAUGUGUAGUGAUCAAAUCAGUGUAAUUAGCAUAUGCAUCACCUCAAACAUCAUUUCUUUCUGGUGGGAACACUCAAAAUCCUCUCUACUAGCUUUUUAAAUAUAUACAAUAAACUAUUGUUAAUUGUAUGUACCCUAUAGUGCUGUAGAAUACUACUCAAACUUAUUCCUCCUAUCUAGCUAUAUUUUUGCAUCUAUUAAUCAACCUCUCCUUAUCCUUCCAGCUCUGAACCCUUCCCAGCUUCUAAUAACCAGAGUUC